GGACUACCCGGGUUUCUAAUCCUGUUUGCUCCCCACGCUUUCGUGCAUGAGCGUCAGUAUUGACCCAGGGGGCUGCCUUCGCCAUCGGUAUUCCUCCACAUCUCUACGCAUUUCACUGCUACACGUGGAAUUCUACCCCCCUCUGCCAUACUCUAGCGAUGCAGUCACCAAUGCAGUUCCCAGGUUGAGCCCGGGGAUUUCACAUCGGUCUUGCAUCACCGCCUGCGCACGCUUUACGCCCAGUAAUUCCGAUUAACGCUUGCACCCUACGUAUUACCGCGGCGGCUGGCAC
rnacentral:rRNA from 1 species